ensembl:lncRNA pleckstrin and Sec7 domain containing 4
UUUCUCUCCCAGGCCCUGAUUCUGGGCUGUGCAGAGGGUGGGGGUUCCCAGGAGCAGGGGGCUGGCGGCCAGAGGCACUGAGCCUGGGAGAAGGGGCUCUCACAUUGGGGCAGGAAGUGUGAGAUGCAGAGCAGCAGGGGAGCCCUGGAGGCCUGAGGUGGGUAGGGAGGGUGAGUGUGGUGAGGGGAGCGGAAGUCGGAAGCGGCAGCGGCCACGUUUGCCGUUCACAGGGCGGGUGGGCCGGGCGGCAGGAUCGCGACGGGGGAGCCAGGCCCACGCAUCCCUUCUCGGUCCUCUGGAGGGUACAUGUGGGGUCCCGGUCGCCCCUCUGGCCAUCACUCCCUCUAAUCCACACAAUGGGCUUGUGAAGGCGGAUGUUCCUGAAGGCUCUAACGCAGCUUACGCUCAUUGGAUAAUGGGCGACGACAGACUCUGUGGCCACCCCAGACCCGUGGAAACCCUCGACAUCUGUUUGGGAGACAACCUGCAACCCCACUCGGAAGCCCACCUAGGGGAGACCUGUAGCCACCCUGAGCCUCUCGAACCUCACGGGGAGCAGACGUGGGCCUCUGACCCUCCUGAUGCUGUGAGGCCUGAUGUUUGUCCCCAGGGCUCCAGCCCAGAGCCCAUGCACCUGGGGAGCGGCUCUUCCCAGGAACGGGCAGGACAGAAAACCACCUCCCCCGGGUCUCCCAGGGACAACCAGCCUCUGGGGAGCCCAGGGCAGAGCCAGAGCACGUCCACGCAGGUGGUGUUCUGGGCAGGGAUCCUGCAGGCCCAGAUGUGCGUGCUAGACCUGGAGGAGGAGCUGGAGAAGACAGAAGGGCUCAGAGCUGAGUUGAGAUGCUGCAUUCCCACGGCCCCUGCCGACCUCCCCACUUUUCCCUCCAGCCCAGUUGGCCCCCGGAACUCGGGCCUCCUCCCCAGCCCACCCCCGGAUGCAAAUGAGGCCUCGGAGGACGAUAGCAGUGGGCCAGAAGGGGAGCCCCAGAAGCCAGCAUGGCCGAGGGAGGGCACGCUGGACUUGUCUCCUGAGUGGAGUGCCGAGGAGGAAAGCAUCUUCUUUGACAACCCGCUUUUCCUGGAGAGCCCUUGCUCGGACACUAGUGCAUCUGAAACGCACUUUUCCUGGGGCUUCUCGGACUCCUAUGUAGAUGUGAGGACUGGGUCCCAGAGCCCACAGACCCUGGAGCCUCCACCCUCAGAAGGCAGAGUGCCCUGGGAGCUGGGCGGUGAGCCGGAUUUGGGGGAGAGCACAGCAGAGUCCAGCGGGCACACCACCCCUCCAUUCCCUGUGCCCACCUACAGGCCACACUCUUUCUCCUGGGUCAUGGUGGACACCCCCGAGGGGGCUCCCGCAGCACCUUCCAGCCAGGAGGAGACUGAGAGUUCUCUGAGAGACAGCCUUGACCCUGCCUUGCCCGCAGCAUCCUGUGUGGACAAAACACUGAGCUGGGAGACAGAACAUGUGGAAUAUAACGGCAGCCCCGCCACACAUCCAGUGCAACCUUGGGCAAGUCACUUCCCCUCUCUGGGCCUCACCUUUUCCAUCUGUAAAGAGGGAACGUGA